GGAUGGUGAAGCACUUUCGGUUGGUGAAGUGCUUUCGGGAGCAGUUGGAGACCUUGGCUCCCCCUCAACAUGUGAGGUUGGCUGAGAUGAUGAUGGUUGAUCCUCCCCCUCGACUGAAGCAUUGUUUGAUGGAGGUUCGUCAGAACUUGAUCCUCCUUCAUUCAUUCUCCUUGCAGCAUCUUCAACAAUUUGUUUCAUGUGAUCUACCUUAUUGUCUGCUGCACCUGCUUCUGAGAGAGUGGCUUUCUCAGGUUCAUCAAAAAGCUCCAUGAACUUCUCGAAUAGAUUAGCGAUCGAGACUGUGACUUGGCCAGUUUGAGGAAAGAUUUCCCCAGCUGAGUCUUCUUUGGCCUGUAGCUUUUUGACAUAGCGAUCAUCAAAAGUCACGUAAUAAGUCUCUUCGAUNGUUGAGCCAAAGAUGAUAUCAUCGACAUAAAUUUGAACGAUCAUAAGGUGGUUACCUUCCUUCUUACGAAAGAAGGUUGGGUCAACCGAAUCUUGUUUGAAUUUGGACAUCUUUAGAAAUUUAGUAAGCGUUUCAUACCAGGCUGUCGGAGCUUGUUUCAGUCCAUAUACGGCUUUAUCCAGAAUGUAGCCAUGAUUUGGAUACUUUUCGUUCACGAAUCCAGGAGGUUGCUCCACAUACACAGUUUCUUCGAGUUCUCCAUUGAGAAAUGCACACUUGACGUCCAUUUGGAAACCUCAAAGUUUUUAUGGGCAGCAUAAGCUUGAAAUAUUCUUACAGAUUCCAACCUAGCUACAGGAGCGAAAGUCUCUUCAUAAUCAAUCCCUUCCUCCUGACAAUAUCCUUUCACUACCAGCCGAGCUUUGUUCCUUAUAACGUUCCCUUCCUUGUCCAUUUUGUUCCUAAAGACCCAUUUGAGACCAACAACCGAGGCAUCUGGAGGAGUUGGAAUGAGGCGCCAGACUUUGUUCCUCUCGAAUUCGUUCAGUUCAUCUUGCAUGGCUUGAACCCAAUCGGAGUGAUCAAGAGCAGUAUUAACUGUCUUCGGUUCAACUUUUGAUACGAAUGAGUUAAACAUGCAGAAUUCAACUUUGGAAAAUAAGGAUGUCUGUUUUGCCUUGAGUUGUGAUCGGGUCAGAACCUUUUCAGAGACAUCACCAACAACUUGAGAGACAGGAUGAUCUCUGGUCCAUUUAGUGAGAGGAGGGUAGUUUGGAUCAAAGGUUGGAUCCAGUUCAGCAUUUAUCAUUUCUUCUGGUUCGGACUGGCUUUCAUAGUCGUAUGACAUAUCAGCUUGCUCCCCCUCGAUAGAUGAGCUUUUAGGAAUGCUUUGCGAAUCUUGACCUUCAGAGGUUUCUUGUGGUGCUGAGCUUACGGGCGUUGAUGCACCUUCGGAUGGUGAAGCACUUUCGGUUGGUGAAGUGCUUUCGGGAGCAGUUGGAGACCUUGGCUCCCCCUCAACAUGUGAGGUUGGCUGAGAUGACGAUGGUUGAUCCUCCCCCUCGACUGAAGCAUUGUUUGAUGGAGGUUCGUCAGAACUUGAUCCUCCUUCAUUCAUUCUCCUGGCAGCAUCUUCAACAAUUUGUUUCAUGUGAUCUACCUUAUUGUCUGCUGCACCUGCUUCUGAGAGAGUGGCUUUCUCAGGUUCAUCAAAAAGCUCCAUGAACUUCUCGAAUAGAUUAGCGAUCGAGACUGUGACUUGGCCAGUUUGAGGAAAGAUUUCCCCAGCUGUGUCUUCUUUGGCCUGUAGCUUUUUGACAUAGCUAUCAUCGAAAGUCACGUAAUAAGUCUCUUCG
rnacentral:lncRNA from 1 species